rnacentral:rRNA from 1 species
UUAAACCCGAUGGAUAACUAGAAUGUUGCGCUUAUUUGUGCAGUGUUCGUAGCUAACGCGUAAAGUAUCCCGCCUGGGGGAGUACGAUCGCAAGGUUGAAACUCAAAGGAAUUGACGGGGGCCGCACAAGCGGUGGAGCAUGUGGUUUAAUUCGAUGCAACGCGAAGAACCUUACAGGGCUUGACAUACUGCAAAUUUCUUGAAGGAGAAAAGUGCCUUCGGGAAUGCAGAUACAGGUGGUGCAUGGCUGUCGUCAGCUCGUGUCGUGAGAUGUUGGGUUAAGUCCCGCAACGAGCGCAACCCUCGUUUUUUAGUUGCCAUUUUAUGGGUUCUCUAGAAAGACUGCCGGUGACAAACCGGAGGAAGGUGGGGAUGACGUCAAGUCAGCAUGCCCCUUAUGCCCUGGGCUACACACGUGCUACAAUGGCUAAGACAAAGAGUCGCGAAUUCGCGAGAAUCAGCUAAUCUCAUAAACUUAGUCUAAGUUCAGAUUGUAGGCUGCAACUCGCCUACAUGAAGUUGGAAUCGCUAGUAAUCGCUGGUCAGCCAUACAGCGGUGAAUCCGUUCCCGGGCCUUGUACACACCGCCCGUCACACCAUGGGAGCUGGUCAUGCCCGAAACCGUUUGCUUAACCUUUUGGAGAGCGACGUCUAAGGUAGGGCUAGUGACUGGGGUGAAGUCGUAACAAGGUAA